rnacentral:lncRNA from 1 species
UUUAUCAAGAUACUAAAAGAAAAUAGGAUUAAAUGCAUACAGGUUCUUAGAAAUAUAGUGAAUAAUAAAUAUAUUUUUAUAAAAAUUUAACUUUUGUACAUUGAUUUUGUAAAUGUUCUUAAAUAUUUUUAAAUAUGUUUCUCUGAUUUGUUACUGUUAGAGAACUAUUUAUAUUUUAACAGCAAAUAAGUGAAAUGCCAAUUUUGUCAUUACAAUUAUGUUCCUCCAAAAGCCAGAGGGGUUGAAAUGUCAAAUUAUCUCAUAAACUAAUCGGGGUUAUUUAAUCUAUAGUUAAUUAAAAUUUUCUAAUGAAUUCUAACAGUAGAGACAUAUUUGAAAAUAUUAGGACUUUUACAAGAAUAACAUAUGAAAGUUGAACUUUGUAAGAAUAUAUUUAUAAUUCACUAUAUUUGUAGGGACCUGUAUGCAAUUAACUCAAGAAUAUAUAU